GACGAACGCUGGCGGCGUGCCUAAUACAUGCAAGUAGAACGCACAGUUUAUACCGUAGCUUGCUACACCAUAGACUGUGAGUUGCGAACGGGUGAGUAACGCGUAGGUAACCUGCCUGGUAGCGGGGGAUAACUAUUGGAAACGAUAGCUAAUACCGCAUAAUAUUAAUUAUUGCAUGAUAAUUAAUUGAAAGGUGCAAUUGCACCACUACCAGAUGGACCUGCGUUGUAUUAGCUAGUAGGUGAGGUAACGGCUCACCUAGGCGACGAUACAUAGCCGACCUGCGAGGGUGAUCGGCCACACUGGGACUGAGACACGGCCCAGACUCCUACGGGAGGCAGCAGUAUGGAAUCUUCGGCAAUGGACGAAAGUCUGACCGAGCAACGCCGCGUGAGUGAAGAAGGUUUUCGGAUCGUAAAGCUCUGUUGUAAGAGAAGAACGGGUGUGAGAGUGGAAAGUUCACACUGUGACGGUAUCUUACCAGAAAGGGACGGCUAACUACGUG
rnacentral:rRNA from 1 species